rnacentral:rRNA from 1 species
AGUGAACGCUGGCGGUAGGCCUAACACAUGCAAGUCGAACGGCAGCACAGUAAGAGCUUGCUCUUACGGGUGGCGAGUGGCGGACGGGUGAGGAAUACAUCGGAAUCUACUUUCUCGUGGGGGAUAACGUAGGGAAACUUACGCUAAUACCGCAUACGACCUACGGGUGAAAGCAGGGGAUCUUCGGACCUUGCGCGAUUGAAUGAGCCGAUGUCGGAUUAGCUAGUUGGCGGGGUAAAGGCCCACCAAGGCGACGAUCCGUAGCUGGUCUGAGAGGAUGAUCAGCCACACUGGAACUGAGACACGGUCUAGACUCCUACGGGAGGCAGCAGUGGGGAAUAUUGGACAAUGGGCGCAAGCCUGAUCCAGCCAUACCGCGUGGGUGAAGAAGGCCUUCGGGUUGUAAAGCCCUUUUGUUGGGAAAGAAAAGCAGCAGGUUAAUACCCCGCUGUUCUGACGGUACCCAAAGAAUAAGCACCGGCUAACUUCGUG